UACUAGAGAUAAUGGAUAUGGGAAGAAAUUUUAUUAAAAGUGUGGAAGAAAUUUAUAAGAACCAAACUGCGCGAAUAGUGAUAAAUGGGGAAUUAACACAGGAUUUUGAUAUUAAAAGAGGGACAAGGCAGGGAUGUCCGCUGUCUCCUCUGAUAUUUAUACUACUACUAGAAUUUCUGUUGAAUAAUAUUAGGAAAAAUCAGAAAAUUAGAGGUCUUAAAACUAAAGGGCUGGAAUACAAGGUGCAGGCCUAUGCGGACGACCUGGUGGUAGUGUUGGAAGACCCUAUCCACAACAUUGAAGCACUAUGGAAAGCAUUGAUGGAAAUUUGGAAUGUGGUUAGGGAAAAUUCUAUUUUAAAAUGCCUGGAUGGGUAUCUACCCAUGAAGCAUUCGCAAACAGAUGGGAUACAGGCGAAGAUUGGCUGAGGCAAGAAGCAGUAAGAAAGCAGGAGAUCAACACAAAGAGGUUUU